rnacentral:rRNA from 1 species
AAUGAACGCUGGCGGCGUGCCUAACACAUGCAAGUCGGAUGUGCCGCAAGGUGCAUGGCAGACGGGUGAGUAACGCGUAGGGAAUCUACCUCUUUGUGGGGAAUAACGCUCCGAAAGGAGUGGUAAUACCGCAUGAGACCGAGUGCUGGGAUGCAUUCGGUGAAACCUGGGGACCGCAAGGCCUGGGGCAAGGAGAGGAUCCUGCGUCUGAUUAGCUAGUUGGCGGGGUAAUGGCCCACCAAGGCGACGAUCAGUAGCCGGCCUGAGAGGGUGAUCGGCCACACUGGAACUGAGACACGGUCCAGACUCCUACGGGAGGCAGCAGUGGGGAAUUUUGCGCAAUGGACGAAAGUCUGACGCAGCAACGCCGCGUGGGUGAUGAAGGUCUUCGGACUGUAAAACCCUGUCGUCAGGGACGAAGGUGGCGGAGUUAAUAACUCCGUUACUUGACGGUACCUGGAGAGGAAGCCCCGGCUAACUCUGUGCCAGCAGCCGCGGUAAUACAGAGGGGGCAAGCGUUAUUCGGAAUUAUUGGGCGUAAAGGGCGCGUAGGCGGUUUUUUAAGUCAGAUGUGUAAUCCCCGAGCUCAACUUGGGAACUGCAUCUGAGACUGGAAGGCUAGAGUACUGGAGAGGGUGGUGGAAUUCCUCGUGUAGCGGUGAAAUGCGUAGAGAUGAGGAGGAACACCAGUGGCGAAGGCGGCCACCUGGACAGUAACUGACGCUGAGGCGCGAAAGUGUGGGUAGCAAACAGGAUUAGAUACCCUGGUAGUCCACGCUGUAAACGAUGAACACUUGGUGUGGAGGGAGUUGACCCCUUCCGUGCCGGAGCUAACGCGUUAAGUGUUCCGCCUGGGGAGUACGGUCGCAAGGCUGA